rnacentral:pre_miRNA from 1 species
UCACUAAGGGUCUGAUCCAAAUCCCACCGAAGUCAAUAGGAAUCUUUCCACUGAUUUCACUGAGUUUUGGAUCAAGCCCUAAAUCCA